GGGGGAGUGGUCAAGUUGGCAACUUGUCCUGGAAGACCCGCAUUUUCUGCGAGGUCGUGGGUUCGAAUCCCGCCUCUCUCA
rfam:Hirsutella minnesotensis 3608 unplaced genomic scaffold MNSD_Scf_244, whole genome shotgun sequence.